UACAGAGGGGGCAAGCGUUAUUCGGAAUUAUUGGGCGUAAAGGGCGCGUAGGCGGCCUGGCAAGUGGAAGGUGAAAUCCCUCGGCUUAACCGAGGAACUGCCCUCCAAACUGCUUGGCUUGAGUCCGGGAGAGGUGAGUGGAAUUCCCAGUGUAGCGGUGAAAUGCGUAGAUAUUGGGAGGAACAUCAGUGGCGAAGGCGGCCAUCUGGGACAACACUGACGCUGAAGCACGAAAGCGUGGGGAGCAAACAGG
rnacentral:rRNA from 1 species